UAAGGGCGCACGGUGGAUGCCUUGGCACUAGAAGCCGAUGAAGGACGUUACUAACGACGAUAUGCUUUGGGGAGCUGUAAGUAAGCUUUGAUCCAGAGAUUUCCGAAUGGGGAAACCCAGCAUGAGUUAUGUCAUGUUAUCGAUAUGUGAAUACAUAGCAUAUCAGAAGGCACACCCGGAGAACUGAAACAUCUUAGUACCCGGAGGAAGAGAAAGAAAAUUCGAUUCCCUUAGUAGCGGCGAGCGAAACGGGAAGAGCCCAAACCAACAAGCUUGCUUGUUGGGGUUGUAGGACACUCUAUACGGAGUUACAAAGGACGACAUUAGACGAAUCAUCUGGAAAGAUGAAUCAAAGAAGGUAAUAAUCCUGUAGUCGAAAAUGUUGUCUCUCUUGAGUGGAUCCUGAGUACGACGGAGCACGUGAAAUUCCGUCGGAAUCUGGGAGGACCAUCUCCUAAGGCUAA
rnacentral:rRNA from 1 species